rnacentral:rRNA from 1 species
AUACGUAGGUGGCGAGCGUUGUCCGGAAUUACUGGGCGUAAAGGGUGCGUAGGCGGCCAUUUAAGUGGGAUGUGAAAUACACAGGCUUAACUUGUGAAUUGCAUUCCAAACUGGAUGGCUAGAGUGCAGGAGAGGAAAGCGGAAUUCCCAGUGUAGCGGUGAAAUGCGUAGAGAUUGGGAGGAACACCAGUGGCGAAGGCGGCUUUCUGGACUGUAACUGACGCUGAUGCACGAAAGCGUGGGGAGCAAACAGGAUUAGAUACCCUGGUAGUCCACGCUGUAAACGAUGGAUACUAGGUGUAGGGGGCGUAGCCUUCUGUGCCGCAGUUAACACAUUAAGUAUCCCGCCUGGGGAGUACGAUCGCAAGAUUAAA